ensembl:lncRNA
UCCCGACGGAGGCGCGUCGCCCGGGCCCCGCGAGGCCUGCUGCCCAGGCGGGGAGUUGGGGGCCCCCCGUGCGCACUCGGCUCGAGGUGAACGACCUGCCCCCCAAGCCCCAUCGGCCGGGUGGGGCAGCGCCGGCAGCCACCUGUUGGACGGAGGGUGACUGCCCCGUGCUCUCUUCCACGGGGACCAAACUGAAAAAACGGACGCUGCCGCCGUCCCUGCACCUUGAGUCUACGUGAACGACGCCAAGGUCGGGGCGGGGAGCCUGCCCAGGGCGGAGUUUUCUCCGGGUUUGAUAUUACAGACCCCGCGGCCCCGGCCCGGCCCGGCCCCUGAGCUCCCCGCCCACCCCGACCCCCGGCCUCGGCCUAGGCCUCGGCAACUGCUCCCCCUGCCCGUCCUCCUCCCCUCCGGGGCCGCCCCCGCCGGGCCCCGCGGACGGCCCGGGCUCCGCUCCCUGCAGGUUGCAGCCGAGCCUCUCGUACGCUGCGGGGAGCGGGCGGUCUCAGGCCCGGGCCGAGCGGGGAGCGCAGGUUUCAAAAUAAUUCUGAGUGAACCACAAGCUUCAUAAUCAACUCUGAGAUUAAAAAUAAUUUGAGGUACAGUCAUCUCUCCAUCUUUGGCAUUGAAAUAUAUACUUGAGAAACAUCGGUAUAGAAAAAAUAAAGUGAGGGACUGGAUGGAACUAGAGACAGAGCAGAGAAUGAGACAAAGAGGACUGAAGAUCUACUUUCAGGAACUCUAAUAUGUAAAGACGGAGAAAGGAGAAUGAAAAGAAACGGGAGCCAAGGAGACGGGAAGAAAAGCAGAGGAAUCAGGGAUCCCAUUGUGAAAAGAAUAGAAAGAUUUCAAGAAAAAAAAGUCUCAGAAGCAUAUAUGCAGGCUCCAUGGAAAGGAACAAAAGCUCCCACACGUUGCAGUGAGAAAUGUGGGAAGAUCCUGACAUGGAAUUGCUGUGGUGGGAACGGAAUAGUACGCAACCAGAAAAAAAUUACUAAAAAGCCUUAUAUGUACUGAUACAACACCAUCUCCAAAACAGAAGAUGAAGGCGGAUUCUGACAAUGCUGGGGAUCAAGCAGAAGACGACGUGCCUGGCUCAUAAACCCCACUCACUGAUAAACAAGUUUGUGUGUUUCAACUCAGAACCCCUUCCUAAAAACUACAUAAGCCAGAUUUGGGGGUAAAAUUGGAGACAAGUGAUUCUAGUACAUUUAGCUACUCAUAAUUCAUUCACUCGUGGGAGAGCACAUGGUAUUGGAAAGGCCCUAAGACAUCAUCAGACUGUAAUUAUGUCUGCUGUCAUGUAAAUGAAGCAUGUAGUGACAACUAUUUUUUCCUCUUAAAAUCGUUUUAAUGAUAUAGUUGAAUUCAUUCUUUUUCUGAAGUGGCCCUAAUAGAUCUUCUUUUUGAAAAAUGUACAAAGUAAAAAAUUGUCAGAGGACCAAAUUAUUGUAUAUUUGGUUAUCUUUUUUCCAUGAGACACAGGUACUCAUAUCGACAGCUUUAUAUACCUGAACACAAUUGUGUCCUUUUAGCAUCCUAGAACAUUAGCGUGGAAAGGGUCUUAGAAGCCACACUUUCUCCAUUUGGAAGACCAAGGAACCGAGGCGGAAGGCGACGCUGUAAUUCCUGCAAGGUGGCACAGAGAGGCACAAUGAAACCUAAUGAAGACCCAGAUUUUCUAGUCUUCCAUCUCCCAGCCACGUGAAUCCCUCACGACCUCACUUGGUCUUGACUGUAAAGCACCCACCAUUUCCUCGGCGCUGUUAAGUCCCUCUAUCCAGGCCAGGUCACUUAAAAACUUCAUUUCCAUCGGCAAAUGACAUAUCAGCAUCCCAGGAAUUUUCGAGUUCAGGUAUCUGAGACCUCUUGCUCAGGAGGAGCCCGUCUAGCCGGUUAGUAGACGGUUCCAAGGGAACAGACGAUGUGCGGCGCGUGUGCGGCCGUCGGGGCGCCAGCCUGGUGGGCCUGGUGGGCCUGGUGGGCCUGGGCAGGGCCGGAACGGCAAGUCCCCGCACAAAAUUUACCUAGAGAG